GACGAACCGUGCGAACGUUAUUCGGAAUCACUGGGCUUAAAGCGCGUGUAGGCGGGACGAUGCGUCCGUCGUUGAAAUCCCCCGGCUCAACCGGGGAAGCGGCGCGGAUACGGUCGUCCUCGAGGGGCAUAGGGGAAUCUGGAACUUCCGGUGGAGCGGUGAAAUGCGUUGAGAUCGGAAGGAACGCCCGUGGCGAAAGCGAGAUUCUGGAUGUCUUCUGACGCUGAGACGCGAAAGCCAGGGGAGCGAACGGG
rnacentral:rRNA from 1 species